CCGAAAUCAAACUCAAAUUUCCACAUUUUCAGAUGCCAGCUUAUCAAUAUGUUGUGGUUGAAUUCCUAGAUGAAGGGUCAGUAGAGGUUGUCCAAAAACAUGGUUAGAGAGUGAAGAAAAGGGAAUGUUCUGUUAUUGGCCAAGAAAAAACAGUCAACAAAGUGCCAAGAAAGGGCAAAUUCCUGAUAAGAAAUUCUGGAGGAGAUAUCGUAUAAGGAUAUUCAGUUACACAGAUGAUUAUGAGAAGGCACUUAAAAGGCGUCAAAGGGCCGUUGAGUCAUCAAAUGUGGACACCAAUGAUGAGGAAGUGCCACACGAAGAAACCAGGAGGGCAGUGAAGCAACCUCAACGAUUGGGGCAUGAUUUUAGUGAUCCAGAGGAGGAAGAAAACACACCUACAAGGCGAGAUGGAGAUAGAAGAAGAACUCCAUCCCCACAUCCUAGAAGAACUCCAUCCCCACAUCCUAGAAGAACUCCAUCCCCACAUCCUAGAAGAACUCCAUCCCCACAUCCUAGA